rnacentral:rRNA from 1 species
AGUGAACGCUGGCGGUAGGCCUAACACAUGCAAGUCGAACGGCAGCACAGUAAGAGCUUGCUCUUACGGGUGGCGAGUGGCGGACGGGUGAGGCAUACAUCGGAAUCUACUUUUUCGUGGGGGAUAACGUAGGGAAGCUUACGCUAAUACCGCAUACGACCUACGGGUGAAAGCAGGAGAUCUUCGGACCUUGCGCGAUUGAAUGAGCCGAUGUCGGAUUAGCUAGUUGGCGGGGUAAAGGCCCACCAAGGCGACGAUCCGUAGCUGGUCUGAGAGGAUGAUCAGCCACACUGGAACUGAGACACGGUCCAGACUCCUACGGGAGGCAGCAGUGGGGAAUAUUGGACAAUGGGCGCAAGCCUGAUCCAGCCAUACCGCGUGGGUGAAGAAGGCCUUCGGGUUGUAAAGCCCUUUUGUUGGGAAAGAAAAGCAGCAGGUUAAUACCCCGCUGUUCUGACGGUACCCAAAGAAUAAGCACCGGCUAACUUCGUG